rnacentral:rRNA from 1 species
AGAACAUGGGUGAUAAGGUCCGUGUUCGAAAGGGAAACAGCCCAGACCACCAGCUAAGGUCCCAAAAUAUAUGUUAAGUGGAAAAGGAUGUGGCGUUGCCCAGACAACUAGGAUGUUGGCUUAGAAGCAGCCAUCAUUUAAAGAGUGCGUAAUAGCUCACUAGUCGAGUGACACUGCGCCGAAAAUGUACCGGGGCUAAACAUAUUACCGAAGCUGUGGAUUGUCCUUUGGACAAUGGUAGGAGAGCGUUCUAAGGGCGUUGAAGCAUGAUCGUAAGGACAUGUGGAGCGCUUAGAAGUGAGAAUGCCGGUGUGAGUAGCGAAAGACGGGUGAGAAUCCCGUCCACCGAUUGACUAAGGUUUCCAGAGGAAGGCUCGUCCGCUCUGGGUUAGUCGGGUCCUAAGCUGAGGCCGACAGGCGUAGGCGAUGGAUAACAGGUUGAUAUUCCUGUACCACCUAUA